UGUUUAAGAAGCUGCUGCGCCUCUUCUCGUUGGUGAUAUGGAUAUGCCUUGUUGCCAUGGGAUACCUGUUCAUGUGUUUUGGAGGCACUGUCUCUCCCUGGGACCAGGUAUCGUUCUUCCUCUUCAUCAUCUUCGUGGUGUACACCAUGCUACCCUUCAACAUGCGAGACGCCAUCAUUGCCAGUGUCCUCACCUCCUCCUCCCACACCAUCGUGCUUAGCGUCUGCCUGUCUGCAACACCGGGAGGCAAGGAGCACCUGGUCUGGCAGAUCUUGGCCAAUGUGAUCAUUUUCAUCUGCGGGAACCUGGCGGGAGCCUACCAUAAGCACCUCAUGGAACUUGCUCUUCAGCAAACGUAUCAGGACACCUGUAAUUGCAUCAAGUCCCGGAUCAAGUUGGAAUUUGAAAAACGUCAACAGGUCUCCAGUGGUGAAUGCAGGAGUCCCUCACCCUUCAACAUGAACCCUCUUCUAGGUUCAAAGAGGCAGAUAUCAAAGCUGGUCAGCCAAAGACUUUUUCUCAACAUGGAGAUCUUCAGUUGUAUCCAACCAAUGCACUGCACUGAUGGACUGUUUUGAACCCCUGCACACUGGGUGGAGA
rnacentral:sRNA from 1 species